CGCGACCAAAGUGAAAAGGAGAAAUAAAAGAAAGAGAGAGUGAGAAGCCCUGGGAAUGGAUACCGUCUCCAACACACAACUAUGUCAGUUGGUGGCGGUAAUGGUCCGUAUUGUUGGUUUGUCGACCUAUAAUACACACCAUAAACGAAGAAGAAGUAGUCCCCCUGCGUUUACAACAUGGAUUAAUAUGUCUCUGAAUUCAGGGUCAACAACAACAGUUACCAUCAUUUAUCAAUAACGCGGAGCCCCCCGUCCAAGGGGUUCUGAAGAUCAUACACGUCUCCAUGGACUGGCUUGUGGGUCUUCCAGAUGCAUUCCACAUGGCAACCAGUGGUCUGAAUAUCACCAUCGUCCUCUUCCUGCUCUUCCUGGGUCUUCUCUACAGGGUCCAACGGACGGUUCCGGCCCUGGGGCCGUAUGCUGCCUGCUUCGAGUCUAGGUGGUACUUCUUGGUUUCACACCCGUCUGCUGGGCCCUGCUGAACGCCUGGUGAACCCUGGCUUGAUGGAGGCACAGAGCAGUGGACUCACUGGAUGACUGAUGACUCCUCCUCCACAACCCCAGACGUGGAAUUUUAUUUUCAAGCGACAAUUUCACAAUAACAGAAAAACUAACCUGAUAAUUGAAAAUAAAUGUAUUCUAAAUUUGUCAUUAUAGUAUUAUGGCUUUUUAUUUCAAAAUGGUUUGGAGUUUAUUUCAAGAUCUCUAGCGUCUAUGGCUAAUCAAAGCAUUCUUUGCUGAGCUACUGCAUGUGUAUCUAUGUGUAUAUAUAUAUAUAUUAUUU
ensembl:lncRNA